rnacentral:rRNA from 1 species
UACAGAGGUCUCAAGCGUUGUUCGGAUUCAUUGGGCGUAAAGGGUGCGUAGGCGGCGCGGUAAGUCGGAUGUGAAAUCUCGGAGCUUAACUUCGAAACUGCAUUCGAUACUGCCGUGCUAGAGUCCGGAAGAGGCGAGUGGAACUCCUGGUGUAGCGGUGGAAUGCGCAGAUAUCAGGAAGAACACCAACGGCGAAGGCAGCUCGCUGGGACGGAACUGACGCUGAGGCGCGAAAGCGUGGGGAGCGAACAGG